rnacentral:rRNA from 1 species
AGCAGCCGCGGUAAUUCCAGCUCCAAUAGCGUAUAUUAAAGUUGCUGCAGUUAAAAAGCUCGUAGUUGAAUUUCGGGACCAUCAUGUCGGUCGUGCCUCGGUACGUACUGGCAUUGUUGGUUUCUACCUUCUGACGAACCAUGAUGUCAUUUAUUUGGUGUCGUGGGGAAUCAGGACUGUUACUUUGAAAAAAUUAGAGUGUUUAAAGCAGGCUUUAGCUUGAAUACAUUAGCAUGGAAUAAUGAAAUAGGACGUUCGAACCUAUUUUGUUGGUUUCUAGGAUCAACGUAAUGAUUAAUAGGGAUAGUUGGGGGCAUUAGUAUUCAAUUGUCAGAGGUGAAAUUCUUGGAUUUAUUGAAGACUAACUACUGCGAAAGCAUUUGCCAGGAUGUUUUCAUUAAUCAAGAACGAAAGUUAGGGGAUCGAAGACGAUCAGAUACCGUCGUAGUCUUAACCAUAAACUAUGCCGACUAGGGAUCGGAUGAUGUUAAUUUUAUAAUGACUCAUUCGGCUACCG